rnacentral:lncRNA from 1 species
AAAGCAAUUACCAGGAGUUGCUUUGUCCAAUUAUAUAUCAAUAAAUCUGAAAAUUUCAUUAACACCAUCUACUGAGCUGUGGAAGAGGAAUAAAUUCCUUUGAUGGAGAGCGCCCACACUGAAGUCAAGAAGACCUGAAUUCAAAUGCAACUUAGAUACAUACUGCCUGUGUGAGCAGAGGUGAGUCAUUUAAUUUAAUUUAAUGUUUGCCUUAAUGCACUG